AGGACGAACGCUGGCGGCGUGCCUAACACAUGCAAGUCGAACGGAGUUGAGGAGCUUGCUCCUUAACUAGUGGCGGACGGGUGAGUAACGCGUGAGUAACCUGCCUCUGAGAGGGGAAUAACGUUCUGAAAAGAACGCUAAUACCGCAUGACACAUAUUUGCCGCAUGACAGAUAUGUCAAAGAUUUUAUCGCUCAGAGAUGGACUCGCGUCCGAUUAGUUAGUUGGUGAGGUAACGGCUCACCAAGACCGCGAUCGGUAGCCGGACUGAGAGGUUGAACGGCCACAUUGGGACUGAGACACGGCCCAGACUCCUACGGGAGGCAGCAGUGGGGGAUAUUGCGCAAUGGGGGGCCAACCCUGACGCAGCGACGCCGCGUGAAGGAUGAAGGUUUUCGGAUUGUAAACUUCUUUUCUCAGGGACGAAAUUUGACGGUACCUGAGGAAUAAGCUCCGGCUAACUACGUGCCAGCCGCGGC
rnacentral:rRNA from 1 species